rnacentral:rRNA from 1 species
UGGAGUAACAGAGGGUUUGAUUCUGGCUCAGAUUGAACGCUGGCGGGGGAUGCUUUACAUGCAAGUCGGGCAGCAGCACGGACUUCGGUCUGGUGGCGAGUGGCGAACGGGUGAGUAAUGUAUCGGAACGUGCCUAGUAGCGGGGGAUAACUACGCGAAAGCGUAACUAAUACCGCAUACGCCCUUCGGGGAAAGCGGGGGACCUUCAGGCCUCACUUUAUUGAAACGACGAUAUCGGAUUAGCUGAAUUGGUGAGUAACGCUCACCAAAGGCGACGAUCAUGGCUGAGUUUGAGAGGACGACCAGCCACACUAAGGACCGGAACACGGCCCAGAUACGGGGAGGCAGCAGUGGGGAAUUUUGGACAAUGGGGAAACCUGAUCCAGCCAUCCCGCGUGUGCGAUGAAGGCCUUCGGGUUGUAAAGCACUUUUGGCAGGAAAGAAACGGCACGGGAUAAUACCCCGUGCAACUGACAGCACCUGCCAGAAUAAACGCAACGCUGGUACGCCAGCGAAGCCGCGUAACCAGCUGAAGGUGCAAGCGUUAAUCAGAAUUACUGGGCGUAAAGCGUGCGCAGGCAGUUCGGAAAAGAAAGAUGAAAUCCCAGAGCUUAACUGGUUGCAUUUUUAACUACCGAGCUAGAGUAGAGUGUGUCGGGGAGGUGGAAUUCCGCGAUGGCAGUGAAAUGCGUAGAUAUUACCGGAGAAGACUCCGGAAAUGGCGAAAGGCGACCUCCUGAAAUGCUGCAAACGCUCAUGCACGAAAAGCGUGGGGAGCAAACGGGAUUAGAUACCCUGGUAGUCCACGCCCUAAACGAUGUCAACUAGCUGUUUGGGGCCUUCGGGCCUUGGUAGCGCAGCUAACGCGUGAGUUGACCGCCUGGGGAGUACGGUCGCAAGAUUAAAACUCAAAGGAAUUGACGGGGACCGCACGAAAGCGGUGGAUGAUGUGGAUUAAUUCGAUGCAGCGCGAAAAACCUUACCUACCCUUGACAUGUCUGGAAUCCCGAAGAGAUUUGGGGUACUCAUAAGAGAACCGGAACACAAUUUUCACAUGGCUAUCGUCAGCUCGUAUCAGAUGUUGGGUUGAUCGCAACGAGCGCAACCCUUGUCAUUAGUUGCUACGAAGGGCAUCUAAUGAGACUGCCGGUGACAAAGCCCAGGAGGGAAGGAGUGAGAUGGCAAUCAAGUCCUCAUGGCUGUCGGUGGGGCUUCACACGUCAUACAAUGGUCGGGACAGAGGGUCGCCAACCCGCGGUCCAAUCCCAGAAACCCGAUCGUAGUCCGGAUCGCAGUCUGCAACUCGACUGCGUGAAGUCGAAUCCGCUAGUAAUCGCGGAUCAGCAUGUCGCGGUGAAUACGUUCCCGGGUCUUGUACCCGCCCGUCACACCAUGGGAGUGGGUUUUACCAAGUAGUUAGCCUAACCCGUAAGGAGGGCGAUUACCACGGUAAGUUCAUGACUGGGGUGAAGUCGUAACAAGGUAA